UGCAAGUCGAGCGGACAGAUGGGAGCUUGCUCCCUGAUGUUAGCGGCGGACGGGUGAGUAACACGUGGGUAACCUGCCUGUAAGACUGGGAUAACUCCGGGAAACCGGGGCUAAUACCGGAUGGUUGUUUGAACCGCAUGGUUCAAACAUAAAAGGUGGCUUCGGCUACCACUUACAGAUGGACCCGCGGCGCAUUAGCUAGUUGGUGAGGUAACGGCUCACCAAGGCGACGAUGCGUAGCCGACCUGAGAGGGUGAUCGGCCACACUGGGACUGAGACACGGCCCAGACUCCUACGGGAGGCAGCAGUAGGGAAUCUUCCGCAAUGGACGAAAGUCUGACGGAGCAACGCCGCGUGAGUGAUGAAGGUUUUCGGAUCGUAAAGCUCUGUUGUUAGGGAAGAACAAGUACCGUUCGAAUAGGGCGGUACCUUGACGGUACCUAACCAGAAAGCCACGGCUAACUACGUGCCAGCAGCCGCGGUAAUACGUAGGUGGCAAGCGUUGUCCGGAAUUAUUGGGCGUAAAGGGCUCGCAGGCGGUUUCUUAAGUCUGAUGUGAAAGCCCCCGGCUCAACCGGGGAGGGUCAUUGGAAACUGGG
rnacentral:rRNA from 1 species